rfam:Sorangium cellulosum So0157-2, complete genome.
CCUCCUCGACGAGCUGCGGGCAGAUGAAAUGGAUGUGCGUGUCGAUGCCGCCGGCGGUGACGAUCUUCCCGGAGCCCGCGAUGACCUCCGUGCCGGGGCCGAUGACGAUGGUCACGCCGUCCUGCACGUCGGGGUUGCCGGCCUUGCCGAUCGCGGCGAUCCGGCCGUCCUUGAGGCCGAUGUCCGCCUUGACGAUGCCCCAGUGAUCGAGGAUGAGCGCGUUGACGAUCACCGUGUCGACGGCGCCCUCGGCCCGUGUCCUCUGCGACUGGCCCAUGCCGUCGCGGAUG